CAUGCUUGCUACACCAGCUUUCUCUUUCCUCCUCCACCUUUUUGCAAAUUUGGGGAUAUUAGUCACUGUGCUGAACUCCAGCAUUUAAUACAGGAGACAGGCUUGUUCAAUAACCUGGCAACUUUAAGAGAGAACCUCGGAGUUGGAGAGGAAAUAUCCCGGAAGACUAGCUCUACAGAGCUUUUCUGAAGCCGGCCUCACCUUCCACGCAAACUGUUCUCAAGCCUUUCCAAUCACCAGUAACAGAGGCAGGCCAGGAAGAGAACACAUGUUACGUUUCAAAGGCAAACAAGUUUCAAGAAUGUACACAAAGACUGACAAAAGAAAGCCAGAGCAGCACUGAAGCUCCAAUCUGCUCCUCUCCAGCUCAGCUCACAGGCAGCCUUCAAACCAGCUACCCAAGGCACCAAGGCACCGAGCUGGUUCCCCGGCGAUCCUCUCCAAUCCGGGACCCAGGCCCGCACGCGGGACGCCCCUACCCCCACCCCCAGCACGCCCACCAGCUCCGGGCGGCGUGUGCGACCUCGGCGCUGCCGCCGGGGACUUUGAAUCGAGCUGGCGGGCAAUUGCAGCUCCAAAUGCCUCCUCUGGCCCCGGCUGCACGAGUGGUUAAGACUCCAUGCUUCCACUCCGAGGGGCACAAGUUUGAUCUCUGGUUGAGGAAGAUCCCACAUGCUGCAGGGAAAAAGAAGUAUUCUAUGAUGCACAAGCAAGAGUCUGGAUACAGUGAGUCAUGAGUCUGGCUGAAUUUCCUGACUUUGCCAUGAAUCAGUGUGUGACUUUGAACAAGUCAUUUAACCUCCAUUCCCUUCUCAGACCUCUGGAUUCUCAUCUGUCAAAAAAUCUUCUCAAGGCUCAAAAAUCUGAGAAGACAGAUCCUAAGCCUGUUGCCUGGUAUUCGAGACCCUUCUUGAUCUGAGCCCUGCCCACCCACUGGUCACCAUGAGUUGCCUGGGUGUGUCCUCAGUCACUUCAGCAUCUCCAACUCUUUCCACCCUAUGGACUACAGUCCUCCAUGCUCCUCUGUCCAUGGGAUUCGCCAGGCAAGGAUGCUGGAGUGGGUUGCCAUACCCUCCUCCAGGGAAUCUUCCCAACCCAGGGAUUGAACCUGCAUCUCCUGUGUCUCCUGCAUUGCAGGCAGAUUCUUUACUGCUGAGCCACCAGGGAAGCCCAGGCUUACUGUUCUCUAAUUGAGCCAGGCUCUUUCAGGUCUCCAUACAUGCCCCUCUCUCUCCCUACAAUGUCCUCUUCCCUGUUUAUCUAACAAACUCCUACUUACGUUUACACUCUUAGCUCAAGACUUCCACGAAGAAACCAUCUCUGGGGGACUUCCCUGGUAGUCCAGUGGUUAAGACUCUGCACUCCACUGCAAGAGGCACAGAUUUGAUCCCUGGGCAGGGAAGUAGGAUCCUGCAUGCCUGAUGGGGUGGCCAAGAGAAAUCAUCCUUGAUUCCUUUGGGUCAACAAGCUACUCCUUCUGCCAUAUUCCCAUACCUUCUCUACUGAAUUGCUCUUAUCGUCUACAUCUCUUUCUCCAUCUUAAUUCCCUCAAUGAAAACAUUUUAUUUAUUUAUCUUUAUCACCUAACAUUCAAUAAACGUUGCUUCUGUGAAUGAA